CGUCGGCGUAACGUGUCCGAGUUGUAAUUUGAAGAAGGUAUCUUUGGGUCUGGCUCUUGUACUAUGUUUCUUGGAACAGAACGUCACAGAGGGUGAGAAUCCCGUGCGAUGAGAUGUCCCAGACCUAUGUAAAGUUCCUUCGAAGAGUCGAGUUGUUUGGGAAUGCAGCUCUAAGUGGGUGGUAAAUUCCAUCUAAAGCUAAAUAUUGGCGAGAGACCGAUAGCGAACAAGUACAGUGAUGGAAAGAUGAAAAGAACUUUGAAAAGAGAGUGAAAAAGUACGUGAAAUUGUUGAAAGGGAAGGGCUUGAGAUCAGACUUGGUAUUUUGUAUGUUACUCUCUCGGGGGUGGCCUCUACAGUUUACCGGGCCAGCAUCAGUUUGAGCGGUAGGAUAAGUGCAAAGAAAUGUGGCACUGCUUCGGUAGUGUGUUAUAGUCUUUGUCGAUACUGCCAGCUUAGACUGAGGACUGCGGCUUCGGCCUAGGAUGUUGGCAUAAUGAUCUUAAGUCGCCCGUC
rnacentral:rRNA from 1 species